UACGGAGGGUGCAAGCGUUAUCCGGAUUCACUGGGUUUAAAGGGUGCGUAGGUGGGCAAGUAAGUCAGUGGUGAAAUCUCCGGGCUUAACCCGGAAACUGCCAUUGAUACUAUUUGUCUUGAAUAUCCUGGAGGUAAGCGGAAUAUGUCAUGUAGCGGUGAAAUGCUUAGAUAUGACAUAGAACACCCAUUGCGAAGGCAGCUUACUACGGGAUCAUUGACACUGAGGCACGAAAGCGUGGGGAUCAAACAGG
rnacentral:rRNA from 1 species